rnacentral:pre_miRNA from 13 species
GGUCUGGUUCUGUGUGGAAGACUAGUGAUUUUGUUGUUUUUGACAGUUGAAUGACAACAAAUCACAGUCUGCCAUAUAGCGCAGGUCA